rnacentral:tRNA from 1 species
GGAUGGUUGCCGGAGCGGCUAAACGGGACUGCCUGGAAAGCAGUUGCUCCAUACGGGGCACAAAGGUUCAAAUCCUUUACCAUCCGCCA